GAUUAACGCUGGCGGCGUGCAUAACACAUGCAAGUCGAACGAUGAAACUUUUUUGAUUUCUUCGGAAUGAUUAAAAGUGGAUUAGUGGCGGACGGGUGAGUAACGCGUGAGUAACCUGCCUUAGAGAAGGGGAUAGCCUUUGGAAACGAAGAAUAAUACCCUAUGAAACCAUAACCUCGCAUGAGGCCUUGGUCAAAGAUUUAUCGCUCUAAGAUGGACUUGCGUCUGAUUAGUUAGUUGGUGGGGUAACGGCCCACCAAGACAGCGAUCAGUAGCCGGCUUGAGAGAGUGUACGGCCACAUUGGGACUGAGACACGGCCCAGACUCCUACGGGAGGCAGCAGUGGGGAAUUUUACGCAAUGGGGGAAACCCUGAUGCAGCGACGCCGCGUGAUUUAGAAGGCCUUCGGGUUGUAAAAAUCUUUUCUAUGGGAAGAAGAUGACAGUACCAUAGGAACAAGGACCGGCUAAUUACGUGCCAGCAGCCGCGGUAAUACGUAAGGUCCGAGCGUUGUCCGGAAUCAUUGGGCGUAAAGGGUACGUAGGCGGGUAAGCAAGUUAGAAGUGAAAUCCUAUAGCUCAACUAUAGUAAGCUUUUAAAACUGCUCAUCUUGAGGUAUGGAAGGGAAAGUGGAAUUCCUAGUGUAGCGGUGAAAUGCGCAGAUAUUAGGAGGAAUACCGGUGGCGAAGGCGACUUUCUGGCCAUAACCUGACGCUGAGGUACGAAAGCGUGGGGAGCAAACAGG
rnacentral:rRNA from 1 species